UACGAAGGGGGCUAGCGUUGCUCGGAAUCACUGGGCGUAAAGGGUGCGUAGGCGGGUCUUUAAGUCAGGGGUGAAAUCCUGGAGCUCAACUCCAGAACUGCCUUCGAUACUGGGGAGCUCGAGUCCGGGAGAGGUGAGUGGAACUGCGAGUGUAGAGGUGAAAUUCGUAGAUAUUCGCAAGAACACCAGUGGCGAAGGCGGCUCACUGGCCCGGUACUGACGCUGAGGUGCGAAAGCGUGGGGAGCAAACAGG
rnacentral:rRNA from 1 species